UACGGAGGGUGCAAGCGUUAAUCGGAAUUACUGGGCGUAAAGCGUGCGUAGGCGGUUCGUUAAGUCUGUUGUGAAAGCCCCGGGCUCAACCUGGGAAUGGCAAUGGAUACUGGCGAGCUAGAGUGUGUCAGAGGAUGGUGGAAUUCCCGGUGUAGCGGUGAAAUGCGUAGAUAUCUGGAGGAACACCGGUGGCGAAGGCGGCAUUCUGGACCGACAUUGACGCUGAGGAGCGAAAGCCAGGGAGCAAACGGG
rnacentral:rRNA from 1 species